ensembl:snoRNA U3 Small nucleolar RNA U3
AAGACUAUACUUUCAGGGAUCAUUUCUGUAGUUCAUAUUGCAAAAGAUGAAAUAAAAACCAGAUGCAAACAAGCAGAGGAUUCAAGACUGGGUCAUGCAGAAGGCUUGUU